GAAGCGGCAACAGCUCAAAUUUGAAAUCUGGCCCUUCCGGGGUCCGAGUUGUAAUUUGUAGAGAGUGUUUCGGGUGAGAUCACGGUCUAAGUCCAUUGGAACAUGGCGUCAUAGAGGGUGAGAAUCCCGUAUGUGACUGUGGAUCGAGCCCAUGUGAAGCCUCUUCGACGAGUCGAGUUGUUUGGGAAUGCAGCUCAAAAUGGGUGGUAAAUUUCAUCUAAAGCUAAAUACUGGCUGGAGACCGAUAGCGCACAAGUAGAGUGAUCGAAAGAUGAAAAGCACUUUGGAAAGAGAGUCAAACAGUACGUGAAAUUGUUGAAAGGGAAGCGCUUGCAACCAGACCUGUCCGUAGGUGAUCAGCCGCUGUUUUCAGUGGUGCACUCGCUCUGCGAUCAGGCCAGCAUCGGUUCGGGCGGUCGGAUAAAGGCCUUGGGAAUGUAGCUUCCUUCGGGGAGCCUUAUAGCCCUCGGUGCAAUGCGGCCAGCCGGGACCGAGGACCGCGCUUCGGCUAGGAUGCUGGCGUAAUGGUUGUAAGCGACCCGUCUUGAAACACGGACCAAGGAGUCUAACAUCUAUGCGAGUGUUUGGGUGUCAAACCCAUGCGCGGAAUGAAAGUGAACGGAGGUGAGAACCCUUAAGGGCGCAUCAUCGACCGAUCCAGAUGUCUUCGGAUGGAUUUGAGUAUGAGCAUAGCUUUUGGGACCCGAAAGAUGGUGAACUAUGCCUGAAUAGGGUGAAGCCAGAGGAAACUCUGGUGGAGGCUCGCAGCGGUUCUGACGUGCAAAUCGAUCGU
rnacentral:rRNA from 1 species